rnacentral:rRNA from 1 species
UAACACUAACUGGAGGACCGAACCGACUAAUGUUGAAAAAUUAGCGGAUGACUUGUGGCUGGGGGUGAAAGGCCAAUCAAACCGGGAGAUAGCUGGUUCUCCCCGAAAGCUAUUUAGGUAGCGCCUCGUGAAUUCAUCUCCGGGGGUAGAGCACUGUUUCGGCAAGGGGGUCAUCCCGACUUACCAACCCGAUGCAAACUGCGAAUACCGGAGAAUGUUAUCACGGGAGACACACGGCGGGUGCUAACGUCCGUCGUGAAGAGGGAAACAACCCAGACCGCCAGCUAAGGUCCCAAAGUCAUGGUUAAGUGGGAAACGAUGUGGGAAGGCCCAGACAGCCAGGAUGUUGGCUUAGAAGCAGCCAUCAUUUAAAGAAAGCGUAAUAGCUCACUGGUCGAGUCGGCCUGCGCGGAAGAUGUAACGGGGCUAAACCAUGCACCGAAGCUGCGGCAGCGACGCUUAUGCGUUGUUGGGUAGGGGAGCGUUCUGUAAGCCUGUGAAGGUGGCCUGUGAGGGUUGCUGGAGGUAUCAGAAGUGCGAAUGCUGACAUAAGUAAC